UGGGGAAUAUUGGACAAUGGGCGCAAGCCUGAUCCAGCCAUGCCGCGUGAGUGAUGAAGGCCCUAGGGUUGUAAAGCUCUUUCACCGGUGAAGAUAAUGACGGUAACCGGAGAAGAAGCCCCGGCUAACUUCGUGCCAGCAGCCGCGGUAAUACGAAGGGGGCUAGCGUUGUUCGGAUUUACUGGGCGUAAAGCGCACGUAGGCGGACUUUUAAGUCAGGGGUGAAAUCCCGGGGCUCAACCCCGGAACUGCCUUUGAUACUGGAAGUCUUGAGUAUGGUAGAGGUGAGUGGAAAUCCGAGUGUAGAGGUGGAAUUCGUAGAUAUUCGGAGGAACACCAGUGGCGAAGGCGGCUCACUGGACCAUUACUGACGCUGAGGUGCGAAAGCGUGGGGAGCAAACAGG
rnacentral:rRNA from 1 species